rnacentral:rRNA from 1 species
GACGUAGGGGGCCAGCGUUGUUCGGAAUUACUGGGUGUAAAGGGUUCGUAGGCGGUGCGGCAAGUUGGGAGUGAAAUCUCUGGGCUUAACCCAGAGGCUGCUUCCGAAACUGCUGUGCUGGAGUGUGGGAGAGGCGCGUGGAAUUGCAGGUGUAGCGGUGAAAUGCGUAGAUAUCUGCAGGAACACCCGUGGCGAAAGCGGCGCGCUGGACCACUACUGACGCUGAGGAACGAAAGCUAGGGGAGCAAACAGG